rfam:Sorghum bicolor cultivar BTx623 chromosome 2, whole genome shotgun sequence.
GUUGCUGUAUUCACUUUAAUCCAUGUGUGUUGUUGUGGAUUGGGGUGAAAUUUAGUUCAAGUUCUACUCCAAUCCACCUCAACACAUGUGGAUUGAUGUGAAUAUGACU